rnacentral:rRNA from 1 species
UCGAGCGCGCCCUUCGGGGUGAGCGGCGGACGGGUUAGUAACGCGUGGGAACGUGCCCAGAUCUAAGGAAUAGCCACUGGAAACGGUGAGUAAUACCUUAUACGCCCUUCGGGGGAAAGAUUUAUCGGAUUUGGAUCGGCCCGCGUUAGAUUAGGUAGUUGGUGGGGUAAUGGCCUACCAAGCCUACGAUCUAUAGCUGGUUUUAGAGGAUGAUCAGCAACACUGGGACUGAGACACGGCCCAGACUCCUACGGGAGGCAGCAGUGGGGAAUCUUGGACAAUGGGGGCAACCCUGAUCCAGCCAUGCCGCGUGAGUGAUGAAGGCCUUAGGGUCGUAAAGCUCUUUCGCCUGUGAUGAUAAUGACAGUAGCAGGUAAAGAAACCCCGGCUAACUCCGUGCCAGCAGCCGCGGUAAUACGGAGGGGGUUAGCGUUGUUCGGAAUUACUGGGCGUAAAGCGCGCGUAGGCGGAUUAGUCAGUUAGAGGUGAAAUCCCAGGGCUCAACCCUGGAACUGCCUUUAAUACUGCUAGUCUUGAGUUCGAGAGAGGUGAGUGGAAUUCCGAGUGUAGAGGUGAAAUUCGUAGAUAUUCGGAGGAACACCAGUGGCGAAGGCGGCUCACUGGCUCGAUACUGACGCUGAGGUGCGAAAGUGUGGGGAGCAAACAGGAUUAGAUACCCUGGUAGUCCACACCGUAA